rnacentral:rRNA from 1 species
AGUGAACGCUGGCGGCAGGCCUAACACAUGCAAGUCGAACGGCAGCACAGUACGAGCUGGCGCUUACGGGAGGCGAGUGGCGGGGGGGUGAGGAAUACAUCGGACUCUACUUUUUCGGGGGGGAACAAGUGGGGACGGUAACGAAAACACCGUAACCGCCCAAGGGGAGAAAGGGGGGGAUUUUGGCCCCUUGCCAGAUGGAAUGACCCGAUGUCGGAUUAGCUAGUGGGGGGGGAAAGGGCCCACCAAGGCGACGAUCCGUAGCUGGUCUGAGAGGAUGAUCAGCCACACUGGAACUGAGACACGGUCCAGACUCCUACGGGAGGCAGCAGUGGGGAAUAUUGGACAAUGGGCGCAAGCCUGAUCCAGCCAUGCCGCGUGUGUGAAGAAGGCCUUCGGGUUGUAAAGCCCUUUUGUUGGGGAGGAAAAGCAUCAGGUUAAUACCCCGCUUUACUGACGUUACCCGAAGAAUAAGCACCGGCUAACUUCGUG